rnacentral:lncRNA from 1 species
UUUAAAAAUCUACCAUAAAUGUUAGUUAAAGGAACCUGCAAGAUAAGAUUUUUCUUUGUUUAAUUUGUAAUAUCAGUUAAAAAGGAUAACUUUUGUUUAAUUGUCCAUCUUCAUCUUCUAUCCAAAACUUCGUCCUGAACAUGCAUGCAAUAUAUGACACUGGACGUAAAGCAACCAACAAUCAAUCAAUCCAAAAAUCCAAUACGAUAUAAUGUGAAAGUGGUUCAUGUAUGAAGGGUUGGGUUUUGAUAAAUCACAGAAUAAAAUGAUUUAUAAGAACAAGAUUUUAAGGAUUGCUGCAGUGAUUUGAUAAGAUGGACAUAGUUUGGUUCCUAUGGCACCUUCAUCAGAAUUAAAACUACAGAG